rnacentral:rRNA from 1 species
GUGCCCUUCGAGGCGUGGCUUCCGGAGCUAACGCGUUAAGUCGACCGCCUGGGGAGUACGGCCGCAAGGUUAAAACUCAAAUGAAUUGACGGGGGCCCGCACAAGCGGUGGAGCAUGUGGUUUAAUUCGAUGCAACGCGAAGAACCUUACCUACUCUUGACAUCCAGAGAACUUACCAGAGAUGCAUUGGUGCCUUCGGGAACUCUGAGACAGGUGCUGCAUGGCUGUCGUCAGCUCGUGUUGUGAAAUGUUGGGUUAAGUCCCGCAACGAGCGCAACCCUUAUCCUUUGUUGCCAGCGGUUAGGCCGGGAACUCAAAGGAGACUGCCAGUGAUAAACUGGAGGAAGGUGGGGAUGACGUCAAGUCAUCAUGGCCCUUACGAGUAGGGCUACACACGUGCUACAAUGGCGCAUACAAAGAGAAGCGACCUCGCGAGAGCAAGCGGACCUCAUAAAGUGCGUCGUAGUCCGGAUUGGAGUCUGCAACUCGACUCCAUGAAGUCGGAAUCGCUAGUAAUCGUGGAUCAGAAUGCCACGGUGAAUACGUUCCCGGGCCUUGUACACACCGCCCGUCACACCAUGGGAGUGGGUUGCAAAAGAAGUAGGUAGCUUAACCUUCGGGAGGGCGCUUACCACUUUGUGAUUCAUGACUGGGGUGAAGUCGUAACAAGGUAACCGUAACG